GGCAGAAUGGCAUGCCUUUCAUCCACACAGCAUUUAGGGAAUGCUUAAAAACAAGCAAUUUCAUUAUGAACGGUUAACUUUAGCUUCGGCCAUCAUCCUGAAAAGGGACAUCAUAAAUUCCUAUGAAAAAGUCUCUCCUUCACUUUGCUGAACUAAAUUCAACAAACAAAUCUCAUCUACCUAAGCUUAAAACAUCUAGAUUUAAAUACAUGAAAACGCUGACGUUUUUCUUAGGGUUAUGAGAAUAUAGGUACUAUUUUUUCUUUAUUCUGUUUCUUAUUUGAUUUUUUUACAAAUGCCUAGUAAACCUGCAUCAGUUGCUUAUUAUAAAUAUAAGCAUUUGAAAUAGGUAGCAGGAGUCAAGAACCACGAUUACAUCCAUUUUCCCAGCAAGUUCCUCACCAAUAGUUCACUAACAAGGAGACAUCCUGGCUACCUCUGGGACCCCCUCAAAGACCUCCACUUGACAACACAAAGCAGACAGUACUACACCCUUAUUACAGAUGAGGACACCAAGGUUACCUAGAAAGCAGCUGUGUCAAUACCGCCUGCUCUGUGGCUACAGGCAUUGCACUUCCCACCUACCCGCAAGCCCAGGUGUUACCACUCCCAGGAGCAGCCCUUACCCAAGAGACAGAAAGAUCCCAUCAAACGCAUUCCCCUUCCUGUGUCAGGAUCAAGACAGUCUACAGUCAUGUCAGUGUGUACUCCUGCCAAAACUCCUACCAGCAAAUAAAUUUAAGAGCUCAGCCUCAGUCUACUUAACAACAUCAUGUUGCAACCAGUGAAGUCAUUCAGAAAUGCAUAAUUCAAUAACAACUUAGCACCAGAUGAAGUUUUAUGAUCUGCAACACUCUGUCUGCCCCGGCUCCCCCUUAUCCCCCAAAACCUCAACAUUUUCAAGAUUACUCUUUGCUGGGCCACUUCCCAAAAUUAAGAGCAGAGUAAACAUUCUAGAAGAGCCUUCCUUUCCUUGCCUGCUAAUCAGGAGUCCUCAGAAAGCAUGAAUCAAGAGUCUGUCACCUCCAAAGGAGGGGCUAGGAGAAGCUGGAUUCUAAAGCUUUGGAAUCAAAGGCCAUGCUUCAGGAGCACCUUGUUCCAGGGCAGCAUGGGUUCACAAAUGGGCACCCUUCACUCCCCUCCCCCACCUCAGCCAAGCAGCCCUGCUAUGAAGAAUGGGGUGAAAGAAACUCUUGCCUUAUCCAGUUUGGAUCUUAAGAGUUCCAGAGACAACCACGUCUGUACACCCACAGGAUGGUGAGAGCUGUUAUUAUUACUGUCACGCAGCAAGGACAAAUAACAUUCUCAUAAUGUUCACUGCGUGCCUGGCUCUAUUUCGGGAUUUACAUACAAAUUCAUUUAUUCCUCAUAUCACACCGGAAAGUAAGUACUAUUCUAGUAUGCAUUUAUAGAUGAGGAGACUAAAGGAGUGUGCUAGUAUUCAGCUCUGGUCUUUUUGCCUCAAGCCCACCCUGUUACAUCAGUUAUGUAAUUCUGGAGCUGGGACCCCACUAACAACAUCUCUAAACUACCUUGCCAGCUGGCUUUGGUCCAGUCCUAGUGAUGGGAGACUUCAGAUGGAGACUGGGAUGCUGGAAGAAGGAAGAAGAUGCUCUCUUUCUGCUUCAAGGUCCUUGUAGCAUCAUUCCAGCAACAGGGGCUGCUACGCUCCAGGCCUUCAUCUUUUCUGGUCUUUGUAGCACCCAUGGCACAGUAUCUUUCUGAAGGAACUAAUAUAACCUAGGCCAUGCCCCUUACAGCUGCAGUACAAUCUGUGGGGUCUCCCUCCUCAGAGGUCUCAGAAUCAGCCCUGCUGUGCUCCUCCUACAGACUUCUAGGUACCAUAACCCCUCCUAUUCCAUUUUGUUACCCCAGCCCCAGGUGUGGUCACCACUUCCUGCCAUUUUUGGCUACCUUAGCGUCCCACUUUUGCACUGACAGCCUUUCAUCACUGUGUAAUGGAUUCCCUUCAAUAAAAACCCUCUGUUUGAAAUAAAAAAAAAAAAAAAAAAAAAAAAAAAAAAAAAAAAAAAAAAAA
rnacentral:lncRNA from 1 species